GCAGCCCGCGCCCGCCCGCCGCAAGUUUGUUCCCCGCCGCUGCGGCCUGCGCGGAGAGAGGAUCGCGCGCGGGGAGGCGCCGAGGGGCAGCAAGAGUGGAGAAAGUGCGGAAAGAAGCAACAGCCGCUCCACCCGCGGGCGGAAAAGUGGCCGGGCGCGGCGGCGGGAUGCGGCGCAGCUAACGGUCCCCGGCGGCCGCCGGAGCCGCUAGGCGCAGAGGCAGCUCACAAGUGUAGGGCUGGAGCUACAGGAACCAUCCAGGUGCACUGGCUUGGCCUCUGCAUCUUUCUGUGCCACUGUCUCAUUCUGUUUCCGGCUGUGCGUGGAUGCGGAUGGCCCAGAGAGAGAAAGAACACGGAGGAGAAGGUUAGAGACCUGCAGUUCCACCAAGCUCUUGCUUGGCUAUUAAUUGCAUCCAGCUAUGUUGGUGCUGUCAUAGUCCCACCUGGGGUCAUUGUUAAUAACACUCGUCAAGAACUGUGUGGGAACUUCUGCCUCCUUAAAGGGCUUUAGAACUCAUAUGAUAUGUACUCACUGAUAAGUGGAUAUUAGCCCAGAAACUUAGAAUAAAUACCCAAGAUACAAUUUCCAAGACAGAUGAAACUGAAGAAGAACGAAGACCAAAGUGUGGACACUUCGCCCCUUCUUAGAAUUGGGAAGAAAACACCCAUGGAAGGAGUUAGGGAGACAAAGUUUGGAGCUGAGGCGAAAUGAUGGACCAUCCAGAGACUGCCACACCCGGGGAUCCAUCCCAUAAUCAGCCACCAAACGCAGACACUAUUGCAUGCGCCAGCAAGAAUUUUUGAAAGGACCCUGAUAUAGCUGUCUCUUGUGAGGCUAUGCCAGUGCCUGGCAAACACAGAAGUGGAUGCUCACAGUCAGCUAUUGGAUGGAACACAGGGUCCCCAAUGGAGGAGCUAGAGAAAGUACCCAAGGAGCUGAAGGGGUCUGCAACCCUAUAGGUGGAACAACAAUAUGAACUAACCAGUACCCCCAGAGCUCGUGUCUCUAGCUGCAUAUGUAGAAGAAGAUGACCUAGUCGGCCAUCAUUGGGAAGAGAGGCCCCUUGGUCUUGCAAACUUUAUGCCCCAGUACAGGGGAAACACCAGAGCCAAGAAGUGGGAGUGAGUGGGUAGGGGAGCCGGGGGUGUAUAGGCAACUUUCAAGGUAGCAUUUGAAAUGUAAAUGAAGAAAAUUCCUAAUAAAAAUUGGAAAAAUAAAAAAUAAUAAUUAGGAAGCUAACCUAUUGUUAUAAAAGUGCAAUAGCAACAGUUUAAAGGGUGUUGUGUUCUUUGCUAAUUAGGAUCUCACUUGAUCUCCGUAACAGUACAAUGACUGGAAGAUCCCUUGGAAACUGCGGGUCUUAGGGGUUACUAAACCAAUCUGUCCAGCCUAGGGUGGUCAGGGAUGGGGACACAGUGUGCUGUUGGGUUGAGGUGACUGCAACCCUGGCCUUAACGGACAUCUAAACUAUUUAACCCAAAGUGAUUUGGGCUAGUUAUGGAAAGUGAAGUGUGUAACAGUGCUGACCAAGUGCAGACACCAUGUGAGAACUUGUCAUUUAGUGGCUUAGUGUCCUUUGCCUUGUUUAUUUCUCCUGAUCUCUGAAGAGCUGCCCAGGUGGAACAAGGCAAAUCAUACCUCAAGGUUAUUGAUAGGGAAGUAGAUAUUGUUAGCUUAGAAGGUAGAUAUCUGCCCAGCUCUGGUACUUUAAAGGCAUAUUAUAAAUAUAAAGGUUUUUUUUUAUCUUUUGUCUGGGAACUGAACAAUCAAAGGUGGGGUUAGAGAUUAUUACCACACUCGAUCCUCCAUUCUCCAUGAAAUACAUCCCUUCUAAACCUGGAGGACCCUAUCCUUGCUUGGCUUCUCUGACACUCUCAAGCAACUCCUUGUCAGGCCCUCUUAGUUGUUGACCUCCCUACACUGCAUGCCAGAGAGCCAGGCUCUGCCCCAGAUUCUUUACAGUUUCUCUCUCCACUUUGUUUUUCUGAUUCUCAUCUUCAUACCAGAGACUUAAUAUCUGCCUGCCAAUGAACUAUAUCUAAGGUCUUAAGAUGGUCGUCAGCACCUACAAUUGCCCCACCUUAGAUGAGAUACUCUUUCUUUCCUGUCCUUCACUCUUUCCUAGCUGCACCAGCCUUGUGUCAUUCCUUGAAAUGCCAGACACAUUCCUACCUUGGCACAGAAGCCUACUUCUAAAUCCAAAUUGGAAUGCUCUCAUGAAAAUGUGGUACAUUGAUCAAUACUAAUUUUUAAAUGCUCUUAUUAAAGGAAUUCAUAAUGUAA
rnacentral:lncRNA from 1 species